CUGAACUUACGCAUAUCAAUAAGCGGAGGA
rnacentral:rRNA from 1 species